AGCCCCGUGGUCUAGUGGUAAGGAUGCCGGGCUCUGGACCCGGAGACCCUGGUUCGAAUCCAGGCGGGGCUA
rnacentral:tRNA from 2 species